GCCUUCAUGGUGUAAUGGUAGCACACACGGCAUGUACUUGAGAGGUCCAGGUUCGAGUCCUGAAGAGGGCA
rnacentral:tRNA from 1 species